GGGCGAAUGGUCUAGAGGUAUGAUAUUCGCUUUGCAUUACUGGUCCACCAGUAGUAAAAACACAUGCUUGCGAAGGGUCCGGGGUUCAAUUCCCCGUUCGUCCA